rnacentral:rRNA from 1 species
UGUAAGGGACAGGGGGGACAGUAUGGGAGUGAGAAUGUUGGCAUGAGUAGCGAGAUGUGGGUGAGAAUCCCACAGGCCGUAAACCCAAGGUUUCCAGGGGAAGGUUCGUCCGCCCUGGGUUAGUCGGGACCUAAGCUGAGGCCGAAAGGCGUAGGUGAUGGACAACAGGUUGAUAUUCCUGUACUACCGAUAACCGUUUGAGAGAUGGGAUGACACAGUAGGAUAAGCUAAGCACACUGUUGGUUAUGUGUGCCCAAGCAUUGAGGCAGUCAAAGUAGGUAAAUCCGCUUUGAUAAUGCUGGGAUGUGAUGGGGAGCGAAAUUUAGUAGCGAAGUAGCUGAUUUCACACUGUCAAGAAAAGUCUCUAUCGAGGUUAAAGGUACCCGUACCGCAAACCGACACAGGUGGGUGAGGAGAGUAUCCUAAGGCCAGCGAGAGAACUGUUGUUAAGGAACUCGGCAAAAUGACCCCGUAACUUAGGGAUAAGGGGUGCCACCAUCAGGUGGCCGCAGAGAAUAGGCCCAAGCGACUGUUUACCAAAAACAUAGGUUUCUGCUAAGUCGCAAGACGAUGUAUAGGAGCUGACGCCUGCCCGGUGCUGGAAGGUUAAGGGGAUCUGUUAGAGCAAUCGAAGCAGUGAACUUAAGCC